rnacentral:rRNA from 1 species
UCAUCUCCGGGGGUAGAGCACUGUUUCGGCUAGGGGGCCAUCCCGGCUUACCAACCCGAUGCAAACUGCGAAUACCGGAGAAUGUUAUCACGGGAGACACACGGCGGGUGCUAACGUCCGUCGUGAAGAGGGAAACAACCCAGACCGCCAGCUAAGGUCCCAAAGUCAUGGUUAAGUGGGAAACGAUGUGGGAAGGCCCAGACAGCCAGGAUGUUGGCUUAGAAGCAGCCAUCAUUUAAAGAAAGCGUAAUAGCUCACUGGUCGAGUCGGCCUGCGCGGAAGAUGUAACGGGGCUAAACCAUGCACCGAAGCUGCGGCAGCGACGCUGAUGCGUUGUUGGGUAGGGGAGCGUUCUGUAAGCCUGUGAAGGUGGCCUGUGAGGGUUGCUGGAGGUAUCAGAAGUGCGAAUGCUGACAUAAGUAACGAUAAAGCGGGUGAAAAGCCCGCUCGCCGGAAGACCAAGGGUUCCUGUCCAACGUUAAUCGGGGCAGGGUGAGUCGACCCCUAAGGCGAGGCCGAAAGGCGUAGUCGAUGGGAAACGGGUUAAUAUUCCCGUACUUGGUGUUACUGCGAAGGGGGGACGGAGAAGGCUAUGUUGGCCGGGCGACGGUUGUCCCGGUUUAAGCGUGUAGGUGUGUGUUCCAGGUAAAUCCGGUUCACUUUAACACUGAGGCGUGAUGACGAGGCACUACGGUGCUGAAGCAACAAAUGCCCUGCUUCCAGGAAAAGCCUCUAAGCAUCAGGUAACAUCAAAUCGUACCCCAAACCGACACAGGUGGUCAGGUAGAGAAUACCAAGGCGCUUGAGAGAACUCGGGUGAAGGAACUAGGCAAAAUGGUGCCGUAACUUCGGGAGAAGGCACGCUGACAUGUAGGUGAAGUGAUUUACUCAUGGAGCUGAAGUCAGUCGAAGAUACCAGCUGGCUGCAACUGUUUAUUAAAAACACAGCACUGUGCAAACACGAAAGUGGACGUAUACGGUGUGACGCCUGCCCGGUGCCGGAAGGUUAAUUGAUGGGGUCAGCGCAAGCGAAGCUCCUGAUCGAAGCCCCGGUAAACGGCGGCCGUAACUAUAACGGUCCUAAGGUAGCGAAAUUCCUUGUCGGGUAAGUUCCGACCUGCACGAAUGGCGUAAUGAUGGCCAGGCUGUCUCCACCCGAGACUCAGUGAAAUUGAACUCGCUGUGAAGAUGCAGUGUACCCGCGGCAAGACGGAAAGACCCCGUGAACCUUUACUAUAGCUUGACACUGAACAUUGAGCCUUGAUGUGUAGGAUAGGUGGGAGGCUUUGAAGUGUGGACGCCAGUCUGCAUGGAGCCGACCUUGAAAUACCACCCUUUAAUGUUUGAUGUUCUAACGUGGACCCGU